UACCACAAUACCUGCCUCAUCCCUCUACACCAGCCGCCACAUCCACCACACACACCUCCACACACCACACCUCCACCCAUAGACCUACACACACACCACACACACAUCUACACCCACCACACACACCUCCACACACACCUACACUCAUACACCUACACAGACACCCCUACACACACACCACACCUACACACUCAUGCACCUACACACACCCCUACACACACCACACACACAUCUACACCCACCACACACACCUCCACACGUCAUACCUCCACUCAUACACCUACACACACCCCUACACACACCACACCUACACACUCAUACACCUACACACCCCCACACCACACACACAUCUACACCCACCACACACACCUCCACACACCACACCUCCACUCAUACACCUACACACAGCCCUACACACACCACACCUACACACCCAUACACCACACACACCCACACACACCACACACACACAUCUACACCCACCACACACACCUCCACACACCACACCUACACACACCACACCUCCACUCAUACGCCUACACACACACCCCUACACACACCACACACACAUCUACACCCACCACACACACCUCCACACACCUCCACUCAUACACCUACACACACAGCCCUACACACCACACCUACACACCCAUACACCUACACACCCCCACACACACACCACACACAUCUACACCCACCACACACCUCCACACACACCUCCACUCAUAAACCUACACACACAGCCCUACACACACCACACACACAUAUCUACACCCACCACACACACCUACACACACACCUACACACACCACACCUAUACUCAUACACCUACACACACCCUUACACACACCACACCUACACACUCAUACACCUACACACACACCACACACACAUCUACACCCACCACACCUACACACACACCCCUACACCUACACAUACACACCUACACACACCACACACCUACACCUACCCACACCUACACCUACACAUACACACCUACAUUCAUACACCUACAUACACACCCCUGCAUAUACCACCCCUACACACUCAUACACCUACACACCUGCACACACACCCCUACACACACCACACACAUCUACACACACCACCUACACACACCACAUACAUCUAUACCUACACAACCUACACCUACACAUACAAACCUACACUCAUACACCUACACACACACCUACACUCAUACACCUACAUACACACCCUUACACACCUACACACACCCCUACACACACACGCCUCCCAAAGUGGCAGCAGGCCUCCUGACCCGAAAGGCGCACCCCUGUUAGAAGCCGCGCCCUCCAGUGGCCCUGGCGCUGCCGUCCCUCCG
rnacentral:lncRNA from 1 species